rnacentral:sRNA from 1 species
GAAAAACAGGUGUAAAUCAGGCUGGACUGAAUGUCCAACGCCAGAGCUCAGGGCCAUCCAGCGAGGGCGGACCACGGUGGGCCCCUCCAUACGAGCGCAGCCUCCGGGGGGAGGAAGGCUCCCUGGGGCCGGGGCAGUGCCUCACAAGGGGCCUGUGGGCCCUUCCUCUCUGCGUUCCAGGUGCCCUGUGCUUUGCAGAGCUUGGCACAAUGAUCACCAAGUCAGGGGGAGAGUAUCCCUACCUGAUGGAGGCCUACGGGCCCAUCCCCGCCUACCUCUUCUCCUGGGCCAGCCUGAUCGUCAUCAAGCCCUCGUCCUUCGCCAUCAUCUGCCUCAGCUUCUCCGAGUAUGUGUGCGCGCCCUUCUAUGCGGGCUGCAAGCCUCCUCAAAUCGUUGUGAAAUGCCUGGCCGCCGCCGCCAUCUUGUUCAUCUCGACAGUGAACUCACUGAGCGUGCGGCUGGGAAGCUACGUCCAGAACAUCUUCACUGCGGCCAAGCUGGUGAUCGUGGCCAUCAUCAUCAUCAGCGGGCUCGUGCUCCUGGCCCAAGGAAACACAAAGAAUUUUGAUAAUUCUUUCGAGGGCGCCCAGCUGUCUGUGGGAGCCAUCAGUCUGGCGUUUUACAAUGGACUCUGGGCCUAUGAUGGAUGGAAUCAACUCAAUUACAUCACAGAAGAACUUAGAAACCCUUACAGAAACCUGCCUUUGGCCAUUAUCAUCGGGAUCCCCCUGGUGACGGCGUGCUACAUCCUCAUGAACGUGUCCUACUUCACCGUGAUGACUGCCACCGAACUCCUGCAGUCCCAGGCCGUGGCUGUGACAUUUGGUGACCGUGUUCUCUAUCCUGCUUCUUGGAUCGUUCCACUUUUUGUGGCAUUUUCAACCAU